GACGAACGCUGGCGGCGUGCUUAACACAUGCAAGUCGAGCGGUAAGGCCCUUUCGGGGGGUACACGAGCGGCGAACGGGUGAGUAACACGUGGGUGACCUGCCCUCAGCUCUGGGAUAAGCCUGGGAAACCGGGUCUAAUACUGGAUAUGACUCCAUGACGCAUGUUGUGGGGUGGAAAGCCUUGUGCGGCUGAGGAUGGGCCCGCGGCCUAUCAGCUUGUUGGUGGGGUGAUGGCCUACCAAGGCGACGACGGGUAGCCGGCCUGAGAGGGCGACCGGCCACACUGGGACUGAGACACGGCCCAGACUCCUACGGGAGGCAGCA
rnacentral:rRNA from 1 species